rnacentral:rRNA from 1 species
UACAGAGGUCCCAAGCGUUGUUCGGAUUCACUGGGCGUAAAGGGUGCGCAGGUGGCGCCCCAAGUUUGAUGUGAAAGCCCCGAGCUCAACUCGGGAAUGGCAUUGAAUACUGGGGUGCUGGAGGUUUGGAGGGGGGACUGGAAUUCUCGGUGUAGCAGUGAAAUGCGUAGAUAUCGAGAGGAACACCAGUGGCGAAGGCGAGUCCCUGGACAACACCUGACACUGAGGCACGAAAGCUAGGGGAGCAAACAGG